rnacentral:rRNA from 1 species
UACGUAGGGGGCAAGCGUUGUCCGGAUUUAUUGGGCGUAAAGAGCGUGUAGGCGGCCAGGUAGGUCGGCUGUGAAAACUCGAGGCUCAACCUCGAGCUGUCGGCCGAAACCAUCUGGUUAGAGUCCGGAAGAGGAGAAUGGAAUUCCCGGUGUAGCGGUGAAAUGCGCAGAUAUCGGGAAGAACACCCGUGGCGAAGGCGGUUCUCUGGGACGGUACUGACGCUGAGACGCGAAAGCGUGGGGAGCGAACAGG